AACCUGGGAACUGCAUUCGAAACUGGCAGGCUUGAGUCUUGUAGAGGGGGGUAGAAUUCCAGGUGUAGCGGUGAAAUGCGUAGAGAUCUGGAGGAAUACCGGUGGCGAAGGCGGCCCCCUGGACAAAGACUGACGCUCAGGUGCGAAAGCGUGGGGAGCAAACAGGAUUAGAUACCCUGGUAGUCCACGCCGUAAACGAUGUCUACUUGGAGGUUGUGCCCUUGAGGCGUGGCUUCCGGAGCUAACGCGUUAAGUAGACCGCCUGGGGAGUACGGCCGCAAGGUUAAAACUCAAAUGAAUUGACGGGGGCCCGCACAAGCGGUGGAGCAUGUGGUUUAAUUCGAUGCAACGCGAAGAACCUUACCUGGUCUUGACAUCCACAGAAGAAUCCAGAGAUGGAUUUGUGCCUUCGGGAA
rnacentral:rRNA from 1 species